UACGUAGGGGGCUAGCGUUGUCCGGAAUCAUUGGGCGUAAAGCGCGCGUAGGCGGCCCGGUAAGUCCGUUGUGAAAGUCAAAGGCUCAACCUUUGAAAGCCGAUGGAUACUGCCGGGCUAGAGUCCGGAAGAGGCGAGUGGAAUUCCUGGUGUAGCGGUGGAAUGCGCAGAUAUCAGGAGGAACACCAAUUGCGAAGGCAGCUCGCUGGGACGUUACUGACGCUGAGACGCGAAAGCGUGGGGAGCAAACAGG
rnacentral:rRNA from 1 species